rnacentral:rRNA from 1 species
CUGGGAGAUUCGACCCUUUCAGUGACGCAGCUAACGCAUUAAGUGAACCGCCUGGGGAGUACGAUCGCAAGGUUGAAACUCAAAGGAAUUGACGGGGGCCCGCACAAGCGGUGGAGCAUGUGGUUUAAUUCGAUGCAACGCGAAGAACCUUACCUGGGCUUGAACUGUGCUGGAAACUUUCUGAAAGGAAAGCCUCCUUCGGGACUAGUACAGAGGUGCUGCAUGGCUGUCGUCAGCUCGUGUCGUGAGAUGUUGGGUUAAGUCCCGCAACGAGCGCAACCCUUAUCGUUAGUUGCCAUCAGGUUAUGCUGGGCACUCUAGCGAGACUGCCGGUGUUAAACCGGAGGAAGGUGGGGACGACGUCGAGUCAUCAUGGCCCUUACGUCCAGGGCUACACACGUGCUACAAUGGGUGGUACAAAGGGUCGCAAUACCGCAAGGUGGAGCCAAUCCCAUAAAACCAUCCUCAGUUCGGAUAGCACUCUGCAACUCGAGUGCUUGAAGCCGGAAUCGCUAGUAAACGUGGAUCAGAACGCCACGUUGAAUACGUUCCCGGGCCUUGUACACACCGCCCGUCACACCAUGGGAGUCGGGAGUACCCGAAGUCGCCACAAUAAUAGUGGCGCCUAAGGUAAGCUUGAUGACUGGGGUGAAGUCGUAACAAGGUAGCCG